ACCUGGGUGGCUCAGUCGGUUAAAGUGUCUGACUUUGGAUCAGGUCUUGAUCUCACAGUUUGUGGGUUUGGGCCCCCACACCAGGCU
rnacentral:tRNA from 1 species